rnacentral:rRNA from 1 species
UAGCUAGUUGGUGAGGUAAAGGCUUACCAAGGCGACGAUCUGUAGCGGGUCUGAGAGGAUGAUCCGCCACACUGGAACUGAGACACGGUCCAGACUCCUACGGGAGGCAGCAGUGGGGAAUUUUGGACGAUGGGGGCAACCCUGAUCCAGCCAUGCCGCGUGAGUGAAGAAGGCCUUCGGGUUGUAAAGCCCUUUCGGCCGGGAAGAAAUCGCAUGGGCCAAUACCCUGUGUGGAUGACGGUACCGGAAUAAGAAGCACCGGCUAACUACGUGCCAGCAGCCGCGGUAAUACGCAGGGUGCGAGCGUUAAUCGGAAUUACUGGGCGUAAAGCGUGCGCAGGCGGUUUUGUAAGACAGGCGUGAAAUCCCCGGGCUUAACCUGGGAACUGCGUUUGUGACUGCAAGGCUAGAGUACGGCAGAGGGGGGUGGAAUUCCACGUGUAGCAGUGAAAUGCGUAGAGAUGUGGAGGAACACCAAUGGCGAAGGCAGCCCCCUGGGUCGAUACUGACGCUCAUGCACGAAAGCGUGGGUAGCAAACAGGAUUAGAUACCCUGGUAGUCCACGCCCUAAACUAUGUCAACUAGGUGUUGGGUGGGUAAAACCAUUUAGUACCGUAGCUAACGCGUGAAGUUGACCGCCUGGGGAGUACGGCCGCAAGGUUAAAACUCAAAGGAAUUGACGGGGACCCGCACAAGCGGUGGAUGAUGUGGAUUAAUUCGAUGCAACGCGAAAAACCUUGCCUACCCUUGACAUGCCAGGAACUUGCCAGAGAUGGCUUGGUGCCCGAAAGGGAGCCUGGACACAGGUGCUGCAUGGCUGUCGUCAGCUCGUGUCGUGAGAUGUUGGGUUAAGUCCCGCAACGAGCGCAACCCUUGUCGUUAAUUGCCAUCAUUUAGUUGGGCACUUUAACGAGACUGCCGGUGACAAACCGGAGGAAGGUGGGGAUGACGUCAAGUCCUCAUGGCCCUUAUGGGUAGGGCUUCACACGUCAUACAAUGGUCGGUACAAAGGGUUGCCAAGCCGCGAGGCGGAGCCAAUCCCAGAAAGCCGAUCGUAGUCCGGAUUGCAGGCUGCAACUCGCCUGCAUGAAGUCGGAAUCGCUAGUAAUCGUGGAUCAGCAUGUCACGGUGAAUACGUUCCCGGGUCUUGUACACACCGCCCGUCACACCAUGGGAGCGGGUUCCGCCAGAAGUAGGUAGCCUAACCGCAAGGGGGGCGCUUACCACGGCGGGGUUCGUGACUGGGGUGAAGUCGAAACAAGGUAGCCGUAGGGGAACCUGCGGCUG